CCGCGGCUCACCAAAGCCACACAGACACAGCAUAGGCAUGGACUGCUCAGACGAAACCGCAACUCACGCCUCGUGGUGUCCGACUGUUCCUGAAGUCCAAACAGCGCAUUGGGCAUGGUCGCUGUCCGAGGUGCUGAAGGAAAGGGCCAAUUGGAUUCCAGACAGUUUUACAAUUUUUUUCCGGUGGAUAAAUUAUUAUUUUUUGUUGUUUUGUUUUCAAUAACUGUUUUUCAUUUAUUGAUGGACAAAUAUAAGAGAAUAAAAUCUUACACCGCUAGGAAUAAUGAUGAUGAUGAUAGUUCUAAGGGAAUAACAUUUGCUUUGUUGUAUUGACGUAUGAAUCAUUUAUUAAAGAGCCAUCUACAGAUUAUUCUCUUCA